CCUACGGGAGGCAGCAGUGGGGAAUCUUGGACAAUGGGCGCAAGCCUGAUCCAGCCAUGCCGCGUGAGUGAAGAAGGUCUUCGGAUUGUAAAGCUCUUUUGCCAGGGACGAUAAUGACGGUACCUGGAGAAUAAGCCCCGGCUAACUUCGUGCCAGCAGCCGCGGUAAU
rnacentral:rRNA from 1 species